ensembl:lncRNA
CUAGGGGACAGUGGGCUGGGGAGCCGAGACAAUGAGUUGGUCUGAGGACUAGGGGACAGUGGGCUGGGGAGACGAGACAAUGAGGUGGUCUGAGGGCCAGGGGACAGUGGGCUGGGGAGACGAGACAAUGAGCUGGUCUGAGGGCCAGGGGACAGUGGGCUGGGGAGACGAGACAAUGAGUUGGUCUGAGGGCUAGGGGACAGUGGGUUGGGGAGACGAGACAAUGAGUUGGUCUGAGGGCUAGGGGACAGUGGGCUGGGGAGACGAGACAAUGAGUUGGUCUGAGGACUAGGGGACAGUGGGCUGGGGAGAC